UAGAAGGAUGAGGCAGGAGGA
rnacentral:piRNA from 1 species